UAAAAUAAUGAUGUGUUAAUAUUUCAUAAAAUCAAUACUAUUGAUAUUCAUAUAAAUUAAAAGUUCACUUUAAGCUAUUUAACAUUUUAUAUAAAUGUGAACGCUUAAAUAAAUUUUAAAAAAUUAAUACACUAGAGUAAAAUGUCUUAAUACUUUUAAUAUAUUUGUACAUUUGGACAACUACACAGGAUUACAGAGACAGAAAAGUACAGAGACAAUUUACAUUACAAUUCACAAAAACAGAACACAACAUUCAACCUUAAAAUUAAAAAACAAAAUUUUGCAUGUUUUAAGCUUAACUACUCCUUAAAAUAAAAACAAAAUCUUACAUGGUACAAAAAUAUUUCUCUGGGAAUGUUGGGUCAUAAUAAUAGGAAACAAGUUAAGGGUUAAUAAAUUAAAUAGUUCCUUUAACGAAUACAAUUUCUCCAAUUGGUACAAUAUCAAGUACUAUUUGUGUUGAUCUAUGGAUGUCAUGGAAUGAGAGAAAUAAAGCUUGAAUCACAUCACUUUUUCUUGAAUUAAUAGUUACAAAACAGUAGUGUUAUAAUAGAAAUAGUCACUUUUGAACAUGUUACUUCUGCAUAGUAUGAAAGUGUGUAUAAUAUUCAUGCUAUUGGAUAAAUUGGUUAAUUAUUCAAAGGUUAUAUACAGGACUGAAUGCAAAUAUACAAAAUAAAAAUGCUUAAAUUUACUAAAAUGGAUAGUUAUCCAAGGUUAUGCAGAUGACACAAAAGUUGUGUUAAUCUAUACAGUCUGAUACAUAUAUUCCACAUGCAGGACUCUUUUAAUUAUUCAAACUGUAACUAUAUUUAAUGUCCACUAAGAGAAUGGUAAACCGUACAACCUACACAAUUAAGUGAUUCCUAAGAGAAUGGUAAACCUUGCAACAUACACAAUUAAGUUCCUGACAGAGAUGUAAACCAUAAAAAAGAAAAUUGCUCAAUCCAAACCCAUAUAUCAUUAGGUCUAGCCCCAGUAGUAAUAAAUGUUGGUCCACUAGUUACUGAACCAGAAAAAAAAAAAAAGCCCAGUCAGGAGCUAUCAAGAUGAAUAGUUACACAAACAAACAAACAAUGUAUAUUAUCAACAAGUUGGUCAAUCAGAUGUAAAAUCAAGAACAUCUUUUCUAAAAGUAUUCUGAGAGGAAAAAAAAGGGCAUUACACAUUUUAUAUUUGCACCAAGUAAAGGAGAAACAAGUAGACAUUAUUUAAUUUCUAUUAUCAUAAAGCUUAAUUUUGAAAAAAAUGUAUAACUCAAAGAGAUGAUGACUUCAGAGACAAAUUAAGAUACCAUAGAUAAUAUUUGGGAGUAGUUUGAAGCAUUUUUUAAUGAGAGAAAAAAUAUUUAUAUAUAUAUAUAUAUAG